UCCAGGUUUGCUUAUGCUUCCAUCUUUUUGAUGGAACAGACUGACUGAACAGAGCAGGAUCUCAUGCAAAUGGAUGAUUUAUUAAUUCAUGUCUUUUCCACUUUAAAAUCAUGGUGCCACUACAUCUCCAGGCACAAACACAUUAAAACAGACAAAGUUUAGUAUUAAAAGAAACUAAUUAACUACAAUAGGGCUACCAUAAUGAAACUGAAAAGUAAAAAUCCCAGUUCUCUUGAGGAGAGGCUUGAAAGCGUCUAACAGGUAGGUAUGAUAAAUGAGUGGGUAAAUGGAAACUGAAAGGAGGUUUAAUGCUUUGUUAAAAUGAUGGCCUCCAUGAAGCUAAGCAUCAAUACUGUUUCUCUUAUGUUUGAUCUGUAGGCAGCAAUUGUGGUGGUAUUCAACUUCGCAAUGGUUCUGCUAAUUUUUCCUGCUAUACUGAGCAUGGACCUUUAUCGUCGAGAAGACAGGAGACUGGAUAUAUUCUGCUGUUUUACAAGGUAGGUUUUAUUCAUUUGAUGAAAAAUAUCUCAUACCAUUUUCUGUCAUCAGUUUGUCAUUUCUUAUUUACAAGAGGAGAUUUAUCUCUGUCAAUUAA